AUUUAAACUAAACAUUAUUGUAACAAAUGUAGUCUUAUUAUAACAUAAUAAAACUUUCAACAACGGAUCUCUUGGCUCUCGCAUCGAUGAAGAACGCAGCGAAAUGCGAUAAGUAAUGUGAAUUGCAGAAUUCAGUGAAUCAUCGAAUCUUUGAACGCACCUUGCGCUCCUUGGUAUUCCGAGGAGCAUGCCUGUUUGAGUGUCAUGAAACCCUCAAACCCAAGUUUUGGAUUUCGAUCCAUGCUUGAGUUUGGAUUUGGAUGUUUGCCGGUGAUGAACCGACUCAUCUUAAAAGUAUUAGCUUGGAUCUGUCUAUAUGACUGGUUUGACUUGGCAUAAUAAGUAUUUUGCUGAGGACAUCUUCGGAUGGCCAGGACCUAGACUACUGUCUGCUAACUAAACCAUCACUUUAAGUGCAUCUUUGGAUGUUACUCAUUGUGUAACUUUGACAUCUGGCCUCAAAUCAAGUAGGACUACCCGCUGAACUUAAGCA
rnacentral:rRNA from 1 species